rnacentral:rRNA from 1 species
UACGUAGGUGGCGAGCGUUGUCCGGAAUUACUGGGCGUAAAGGGCGUGUAGGCGGGAUCAUAAGUCAGAUGUGAAAUUCCAUGGCUUAACUGUGGGGCUGCAUCUGAAACUAUGGUUCUUGAGUGCUGGAGAGGAAAGCGGAAUUCCCAGUGUAGCGGUGAAAUGCGUAGAUAUUGGGAGGAACACCAGUGGCGAAGGCGGCUUUCUGGACAGUAACUGACGCUGAGGCGCGAAAGCGUGGGGAGCAAACAGG